rnacentral:rRNA from 1 species
AUUGAACGCUGGCGGCAGGCCUAACACAUGCAAGUCGAGCGGAGCGGCGGACGGGUGAGUAAUGCCUGUGUAUCGGCCUGGCCGUGGGGGAUAACGUCCGGAAACGGGCGCUAAUACCGAAUACUAGCAGAUGAGCCUAGGUCGGAUUAGCUAGUGGGUGGGGUAAAGGCUUACCAAGGCGACGAUCCGUAACUGGUCUGAGAGGAUGAUCAGUCACACUGGAACUGAGACACGGUCCAGACUCCUACGGGAGGCAGCAGUGGGGAAUAUUGGACAAUGGGCGAAAGCCUGAUGCAGCCAUGCCGCGUGUGUGAAGAAGGUCUUCGGAUUGUAAAGCACUUUAAGUUGGGAGGCGUUACCGACAGAAUAAGCACCGGCUAACUUCGUGCCAGCAGCCGCGGUAAUAC